GUCAGAUGACACAUUCCAGCCAAUCAGCAGCAGACCCUCCCUCCCCCUCCCACCUCCUGGACAGCAUCCAUUUUGAAGCUGCAUUCUUAGUGAGCUGUCCAGGAGGUGGGAGGGUCUGGGAGGGAGGGUCUGCUGCUGAUUGGCUGGAAUGUUUUAGCUG
rnacentral:miRNA from 1 species